ACAAAGGCUCUUUUAAGAGCCACCCACAAUUUCAUAAAGAGCUUU
rnacentral:ncRNA from 1 species